rnacentral:rRNA from 1 species
UACGUAGGGUGCUAGCGUUGUCCGGAAUUAUUGGGCGUAAAGAGCUCGUAGGUGGCGGGUCACGUCGGGUGUGAAAGCCCGGGGCUUAACCCCGGGUCUGCAUUCGAUACGGGUCUGCUGGGGUCCGGCAGGGGAGACUGGAAUUCCUGGUGUAGCGGUGAAAUGCGCAGAUAUCAGGAGGAACACCGGUGGCGAAGGCGGGUCUCUGGGCCGGUACCGACGCUGAGGAGCGAAAGCGUGGGGAGCGAACAGG